UGAAUAUUUUUUUUGUGUAUGUGCAGCAGAAAAUAUUCUCUAAGAUAUGACCAAGGUGUGAAGAAUCUAACAGGCUGUGUGGGGGAGUAAGUGUAAAGUGACACUAAUGUGUAAGUAAUGCUGAGGUUUAACAUUUUGGGGGGCUGGGGUGGGUUUUUGUGUUUUUUGUUUUUUUCUUUAUACUCUUUUUCUACUGAAGACACUUAACUGACUGGGUAUUGAGUGGGCUGAAUGCCACCAGACUCUGUUCCUGAAUUAGCUGACCUAGAGUCUUACUCCAUUUCUUUUUAAAAGGGGGAAGGGAGAAAUUCUGCUUUCUUUUCUGCAGUCAUUAUUAGUGUGUGUGUGAAUGACUGGAGAAACGAGGCAGCUAAAACUCCAUCAGAAUUAGUGAACUGUCUUCUUUAAGCUUGCACAAAAUUCUGCACUCUUCACUGUCCGUCACCACCGUUCAUCCAAAGGAACGCCCUUCACCUCCAUCCCAGAAAUCACUGCUACUUCUCUCUUCUCACCUUCCUUUUGUCCCACGGUGGUCUAGUUCGCUACCUGUGUUCAUUACUGCUUGAGGCUGUGCUCCAGAAACACCAAACGGAGCCCAAGGCCCAGCUUCCAUUGUCAGAAGCCAUUGGUAACCUCUGUACUCUGAGAUUUCUUUUUUUUUUUUUUUUCCAAUUAAUUAUGCAUUAGUUCUCUUUUCUCUUACCUCCCCCAAAGCUAGCAUUUGGCAGAGCCACAGGUACUACAAAGGACACUAGCUCAGUCAUUUCAGCAGCGCUAUGAACAUGUAUUUUCUGUGGGCUCCUCUGGGAGUAGCUGGUCCUUCUAGUCCUGGUGAAAGAUGACGUUAUUUUUCUGUAACUGAUGGUGAGAUUUCAGAAGGCCCUUUUCAGAAGCACUGUGGAUAGUGAUCCUAAUCAAAUCCCUAGUCAUGUUGGCCAGGGGGCAUUAAGUAGGAUUUGGCUUUAGCAAGAAGUCAAGGAGUCGUGGAAGUAGUUGCGAGUGUUGUCAAGUGGAUGCUGAAGCAGAGUCCCAUCUGGCCAGAAAGCUGUCAGCCCAUAAAGCUGAGACUAUCCAGGCUUCAACAGUACUAAUGCUGUCUCAGAAUAGUAAUGAGUUCCCACUCAGCAAAGUACAUGGCCCGGUGUGCUCCAGCAGUGCUCGGUAUGGACAAGUGCCAGGCAGGGAUGUGCUAACAAGGCAGCUUGUGUUGCACCACUAAAGAAAUGCAGCCAGUGGUCUCCUGGAGCAUCCCUGUGAGUCCACUCAAGGAAGCUCUCCGAAGAGCUUCAGCCAUGGUGGGACUUGCUUGGAGGGCUGUGAUGCUGCCAGCUGAGCUUUAACAAGAAGCUGAGGCAGCCACAUGAGUUUGUCAGGUCUUAAGAAAGCAAUGGGAAAAGUCUCAAAGGUUAGGGAUGUUUCAUUUGAAAGUUAUGUGAAAGUUUUCUAAGUUGGUUUCUCUCAGAGAGCCACCCCUUUUACUCAAUUAACAGUGAAUGGGUGAAGAAGGACAAAAGAAAUACAUGAACCGCAAUGACUGAAAGCUAAUCCUUGUGGAGCAAGUGCCCCCUGCAAGCAGCUGAGUGUCUGCCAUAGUCAUUCUUGGAGCUAUCGAACACCUGCUGUGGUUCACCUCUCCUGUAGAUGGGGAAGCCACCUCCAUAAAAUGGCCUACUAAGCACCAGUUGCC
ensembl:lncRNA